rnacentral:rRNA from 1 species
ACUACGGGGUGCUGCAGUAGGGAAUAUUGCUCAAUGGGGGAAACCCUGAAGCAGCAACGCCGCGUGGAGGAUGAAGGUUUUAGGAUUGUAAACUCCUUUUGUUAGAGAAGAUUAUGACGGUAUCUAACGAAUAAGCACCGGCUAACUCCGUGCCAGCAGCCGCGGUAAUACGGAGGGUGCAAGCGUUACUCGGAAUCACUGGGCGUAAAGAGUGCGUAGGCGGGGUAAUAAGUCAGAUGUGAAAUCCUGUAGCGUAACUACAGAACUGCAUUUGAAACUGGUACUCUGGAGUGUAGGCGAGGUAGGUGGAAGUCUUGGUGUAGGGGUAAAAUCCGUAGAGAUCAAGAGGAAUACUCAUUGCGAAGGCGACCUGCUGGAACAUUACUGACGCUGAUGCACGAAAGCGUGGGGAGCAAACAGGAUUAGAUACCCGGGUAGUC